rfam:Caprimulgus carolinensis contig118207, whole genome shotgun sequence.
GGUCUGUGAUGGCUCUUGGCAUGUAUUACCUGAGCAUAAAUGUGGAGAUGGUCACUUGAGCUCUUGAAUUACUCUGAGACCCG